UACGUAGGGUGCAAGCGUUUAAUCGGAAUGACUGGGCGUAAAGGGUGCGCAGGCGGUCUGCUAAGACAGAGGUGAAAUCCCCGGGCUUAACCUGGGAAUGGCCUGUGUGACUGGCAGGCUAGAGGAUGGCAGAGGGAGGCGGAAUGCCACGUGUAGCAGUGAAAUGCGUAGAGAUGUGGCGGAACACCGAUGGCGGAAGGCAGCCUCCUGGGCCAAUCCUGACGCUCAGGCACGAAGCGUGGGAGCAACAG
rnacentral:rRNA from 1 species